GACGAACGCUGGCGGCGUGCUUAACACAUGCAAGUCGAACGGUAAGGCCCUGCUUUUGUGGGGUGCUCGAGUGGCGAACGGGUGAGUAACACGUGAGUAACCUGCCCUUGACUUUGGGAUAACUUCAGGAAACUGGUGCUAAUACUGGAUAUGAGCUCCUCAUGCAUGGGGGGGGUUGGAAAGUUUCGGCUGUUGGGGAUGGACGCGCGGCUUAUCAGCUGGUUGGUGGGGUAGUGACUGACGAAGGCUUUGACGGGUAGCCGGCCGGGGAGGGUGACCGGCGACAUUGGGCCCAGGAUACGGCCGAGAGUACUACGGGAGACAGCAGUGGGGAAUAUUGAACAAUGGGCGGAAGCCGGAUGCAGCAGCGUCGAGGGCGGGAUGACGGCAUUCGGGUUGUAAACCGAUAUCGCCUGUGACGAAGCUGUAGUGACGGUAGUGGGUGAAGAAGCGCCGGCUAACUACGUG
rnacentral:rRNA from 1 species